CGUACGCAACCUUCCCAAAACAGGUGAAUAGCCCUGCGAAAGUAGGAUUAAUACACCGUGAGAUAUAGAGGUGGCAUCAUUUUUAUAUUAUAGGCAGCAAUGUCGGUUUUGGAUGGGCGUGCGCCUGAUUAGGUAGUUGGUGAGGGUAACGGCCCACCAAGCCUUCGAUCAGUAACUGGUGUGAGAGCACGACCAGUCACACGGGCACUGAGACACGGGCCCG
rnacentral:rRNA from 1 species